GUUGGAUAUCUCUCUCAGCCUUGAGAAGCGUAGGAGGAGAGGUCUGGCCAAACCUCUAUCCUAAGAUAUAUCCAUCUCUUUCCUCUCCUGGUAACUGGAUAUUCCCCCCUCCCAGUUCCCAAACUAAAGGAACAUCUGAAGAAGACAUUUUGAGCCUUUCUCAAAACUUUACCUCACAGCUCCUGGUGCCCUGCAUCUGAACUGUGUCCAGGGGCCAAAGACCAGGAUGUAGCUUAACACAAAAUGUGGGGGAAUACAACCUUUACAAGAAAGGGAACAUGGAGCACUGCAAAACAAUUUAGGGUUGGUGAAAGAGCUGCAACCCAAGGAAGCCUGGUCCCAUUAUUAUGA
rnacentral:lncRNA from 1 species